UACGUAGGGGGGCAAGCGUUGUCCGGAUUUAUUGGGCGUAAAGAGCGUGUAGGCGGCUUUGCAAGUCCGUUGUGAAAACUCGAGGCUCAACCUCGAGACGCCGGUGGAAACUGCAAAGCUAGAGUCCGGAAGAGGAGAGUGGAAUUCCUGGUGUAGCGGUGAAAUGCGCAGAUAUCAGGAAGAACACCUAUUGCGAAGGCAGCUCGCUGGGACGUAACUGACGCUGAGACGCGAAAGCGUGGGGAGCAAACAGG
rnacentral:rRNA from 1 species